rnacentral:rRNA from 1 species
GACAGAGGUGCCAAGCGUUAGGCGGAAUCACUGGGCUUAAAGCGUGUGUAGGUGGAUGUCUAAGUACCUUGUGAAAUCCCACGGCUCAACCGUGGAACUGCUCGGUAUACUGGAUGUCUUGAGCCACUUAGGGGCUACCGGAACAAAUGGUGGAGCGGUGAAAUGCGUAGAUAUCAUUUGGAACGCCAAUGGUGAAAACAGGUAGCUGGGAGUGUGCUGACACUGAGACACAAAGCCAGGGGAGCGAACGGG